rnacentral:lncRNA from 1 species
AAUAUCAGUGUUGUCAGUGUCCGCAAACGUCAAUUUGAAACAAAGACUCAUUUAAAGGACAAGUAAUUGCAAGCCAAUAAUUUUCCCAGUCGCAGUUCUUCCAUGCAACAACUGCAAGGGUGCCUUAUCAUAUGCUAGUAAGUCUGGUAAAGACAAAAAUUUAUACAGCCUUUCCCCAAGGCAAAAGUUUGAAGGGAUCUAAAGUUGCAAAUUUACCAGAGUCUAAACUCAUUACAUAGAUCGACUAAAAACAUGACCACACUGAAAUGUUCACUUAUGUAAUCCAUGGUUACAUCACCAAAAUAAUUUAACUUUUCCAACAAAAAGGUUCAUG